UAAUUUUGAUGUGGCUGUGGGAAG
rnacentral:miRNA from 1 species